AUUGAACGCUAGCGGGAUGCCUUACACAUGCAAGUCGAACGGAGUGGCGAACGGGUGAGUAAUGCAUCGGAACGUGCCCAGUAGCCGGGGAUAACCACGCGAAAGCGUAGCUAAUACCGCAUACUAUCGGAGCGGCCGAUAUCGGAUUAGCUCGUUGGUGGGGUAACGGCUCACCAAGGCGACGAGCCGUAGCUGGGUUGAGAGGACGACCAGCCAAGCUGGGACUUAGACACGGCCCGGACUCCUACGGGAGGCAGCAGUGGGGAAUUUUGGACAAUGGGGGAAACCCUGAUCCAGCCAUCCCGCGUGAGCGAUGAAGGCCUUCGGGUUGUAAAGCACUUUUGGCAGGAAAGCGGUACCUGCAUAAUAAGCACCGGCUAACUACGUGCCAGCAGCCGCGGUAAUUC
rnacentral:rRNA from 1 species